GCGAAUGGCUCAUUACAUCAGUUAUAGUUUAUUUGAUAUUUGAAAGUUACAUGGAUAACCGUGGCAAUUCUACAGCUAAUACAUGCUUCAAAACCUGACUUCGGAAGGGUUGUAUUUAUUAGAUAUUAAACCAUCCCCUCGGGGCUGUGAUGAAUCAUAAUAACUGAUCGAAUCGAGGUUCGCCUUGAUAAAUCAUUCAAGUUUCUGCCCUAUCAGCUGUAGAUGGUAGUGUAUUGGACUACCAUGGCUAUUACGGGUAACGGAGAAUUAGGGUUCGAUUCCGGAGAGGGAGCCUGAGAAACGGCUACCACAUCUACGGAUGGCAGCAGGCGCGAAAAUUGCCCAAUCCCGAUUCGGGGAGGCAGUGACAAGAAAUAACAACCCAGAACAUUGUUUCCGGG
rnacentral:rRNA from 1 species